AAGAAAACGAGUCCGGUGACCCAAUUUUUUCUUUUUCUUAUCUGAAAGCAUAAUAUUGAAGCUAUCUUCUCAUAUUUUAUCUCAAAAUUCUAUGGCGUGGUUUGCGUUUUAUGGCGGAAAAAUGGGUUUUCCAUGCAUAAUCUAUACAAAAUCUUGACAAUUUUGAACAACCUGUAGCGUGAAAAUAAGUCCGGUGACCCAUUCUUUUUAUUAAUGUUUUUAAACAAGCAGGAUAUGAACUACAUUUUGGCAAAUUAUUAAAAGAUUCUAUGGAUUAUAAUUUAGACACCCCAUCUACCUUAAGCAUUGUA
rnacentral:lncRNA from 1 species